rnacentral:sRNA from 1 species
GCCAGGCACGGUGGUGCAUGCCUGUAAUUCCAGCGACUCAGAAGGUUGAGGAAAGAGGAUCAUGAAUUCAAAGCCAGCCUCAACAACUUAGCAGGGCCCUAAGCUUCUAGUGAGACCCUACCUCUA